rnacentral:rRNA from 1 species
AACGAACGCUGGCGGCAGGCUUAACACAUGCAAGUCGAACGGGCGUAGCAAUACGUCAGUGGCAGACGGGUGAGUAACACGUGGGAAUAUCCCUCUCAGUUCGGAAUAACUCAGGGAAACUUGAGCUAAUACCGGAUACGUCCUUCGGGAGAAAGAUUUAUCGCUGAGAGAUUAGCCCGCGUCUGCUUAGCUAGUUGGUGAGGUAAUGGCUCACCAAGGCGACGAUCAGUAGCUGGUCUGAGAGGAUGAUCAGCCACACUGGGACUGAGAUACGGCCCAGACUCCUACGGGAGGCAGCAGUGGGGAAUAUUGGACAAUGGGGGCAAGCCUGAUCCAGCCAUGCCGCGUGAGUGAUGAAGGCCUUAGGGUUGUAAAGCUCUUUUGCCAGGGAAGAUAAUGACUGUACCUGGAGAAUAAGCCCCGGCUAACUUCGUGCCAGCAGCCGCCGCAG